UACGUAGGGGGCGAGCGUUGUCCGGAAUCAUUGGGCGUAAAGAGCGUGUAGGUGGGCCGGAAGGUCAGGUGUGAAAGCCCGGGGCUCAACCCCGGAGGGUCACUGGAAACCAACGGCCUUGAGUCCGGAAGAGGAGAGUGGAAUUCCUGGUGUAGCGGUGGAAUGCGCAGAUAUCAGGAGGAACACCGAUGGCGAAGGCAGCUCUCUGGUACGUGACUGACACUGAGACGCGAAAGCGUGGGGAGCGAACAGG
rnacentral:misc_RNA from 1 species